GCAGAAUACUUUGACGGAAACAUCGCCAUCUAUGAUGUAUAAUAAUAUUGAAUUUGAGAUAAAACAGAGAAAAGAUUGUAAAUAAAUAAAACAUAAACAAUUAGUAUAAAUUACUCUUUAAAUUAUUAAAAAUGACGGAUGAAAAAUUAGAUACUAUAACAGAUAAGCCAGAAGAAUUUUCAACAAGUAAUAUUGUUGAAAAAAUUCCAGCUAAUCGUGAAGAUAUAGAAAAAUCAAAGACAGAUGAAAUUUCUGAUAAAAUGAAAAGUCCUUGCAACAACAGUAUCAGCAUGACAGUUACGAAUGGUGGUGAUGCCGGUAAUUGUUAUUGUGGAAAAGAUAGAAACUUAAGUAUUGCAGAACUCUUAUGUGCUUGCUGCUCCAAGUGGUUUCAUGAAUCUUGUAUCAGUUAUCAAUUAGGAAAACUUGUUCCAUUCAUGAUGAACUACAUAUUUAUGUGUAAAAAUUGUUCUCCUUCCGGACUUGAAAGUUUUAAAAAAAAUCAAGCGCCAUUCCCGCAAAUGUGUGUGACAGCCAUAGCAAAUCUUUUACAAAUUGCUCAAAAGGAUCCUGAACAAAAAAUGUUAUUCCAUAAAGAUCGAGAUAUAAUUCCUUUUAUUGAAUGUCAUUGGGAAAGUAUGACCACAAUGCCUAGACGUGUAACACAAUCUUGGCACGCAACAGUUCAUCGAGCUCUAUUAAAAGAUGUGGGAACUCUUUUUACAAUGGAUGAAAAUAACACAGAUGGACAAUUAUUUGGACUAACUACUCCGGACCUCGUCUUAAUAAAACCGAACUACGAAGCAAUGAUUAAAGGUGGACACUUAAAAAUCACAGAAAUGGGAGUACAACAUGUCGUACCAUUGACCACUGGAAUUCGAGGUCGAAAUGCAAAGCGUAAAUUUCCUGGAGAAGGUGCUGCUACUGGUCCAGGAAAGAAAGGACGUGGCUCUGAUUUGUCAACACCCAAAUUGCCUGCUCAUGGUUAUCCACUGGAGCACCCAUUCAAUAAAGACGGAUACAGAUAUAUAUUGGCUGAGCCUGAUCCGCAUGCACCUUUUCGACAAGAGUUCGACGAGAGCAGUGAUUGGGCAGGAAAACCCAUUCCUGGAUGGCUUUAUCGAGCACUAAGUCCAAGUAUUGUAUUAUUGGCUCUGCACGACAGAGCACCACAAUUGAAAGUUUCUGAAGAUCGACUAGCAGUGACAGGUGAAAAAGGUUAUUGUAUGGUUAGAGCAACACAUUCAGUAAGUCGAGGAACUUGGUACUGGGAAACAACAAUUGAAGAAAUGCCAGAAGGUUCUGCCACUAGACUAGGGUGGGGACAAGAAUAUGCAAAUUUACAGGCUCCUUUGGGAUAUGAUAAAUUUGGAUAUUCGUGGAGAUCAAGGAAAGGUACAAAAUUUCAUGAAAGUCGAGGAAAACACUACAGUCCAAGUUAUGGAGAAGGAGAUACUUUAGGUUUCAUUAUUACUUUACCAGACACAUACGAUUCUUCUCAUAUACCUAACACUUACAAAGAUAGACCUUUAGUAAAGUUCAAAAGUCAUUUAUAUUAUGAAGAAAAAGAUCAAGUUCCUGAAGCUUUGAAAGCAUUAAAACCUCUUGAAGGAAGUAAAAUUAUAUUUUAUAAAAAUGGUGUAUGUCAAGGAGAUGCAUUUAUUGAUAUUAAUAGAGGUGCUUAUUACCCAACCAUAUCAAUUCAUAAAAGUGCUACUGUUUCUGUUAACUUUGGUCCUAAUUUCAAAUAUCCACCAACUGAUAUUACCUUUAGAGGAAUGCAUGAUAAAGCUGAAGAAACGAUGAUUGAACAAUCAAUGGCAGAUAUUCUUUAUCUCAGUGAAAAUGAGGGUAAAUUGAGACUGGAUGCAUUCGCAAUGUGACAUUAAAGAACUUUUUAUUUUCAUUUCGUUUGUUUUCCAUUUUUACAACAAAUAAAAUAUGUCCAUUAAAAUAAGCCACCUAUUAGCAUUAUUUUCCAAAACCUCCUCGACAUGCUGGACUUGGAUCAAUUUUUUUACUCAAUUCAUUCCAUUGAGACGGUGUUUUAGCCUGUACAUAAAUAAAAUUUCUUUUUGACGUAAGUU
rnacentral:misc_RNA from 1 species